UCCUGCUAUCGGAACUUGAGGGAAACACACCCAUGGCGAGUCAUUUUGGUCUGAGCCAGUGGCUGUUGCUGUUGGUUGUACUGAUAAGCAGUCAAGCGAUCUCAUCACUCAACUCCAACACAUUCACAACUACGCUCCCCGUCAGUGCUCCUAACCGGCGUGUUAUAUUCUACAAGCCGGAACGUGAUAUUAACGAGACGACCGUCAAUAAAUCAAAGUUAUUCGACUCUCCCAAGCUCUGUCAGCCUGGUUAUCAGCUCGAUCGUCACUAUCGGUGUCGACGUGUGAUGAGAUUAUGAUUGAUUACCAUAUCAAUACUAACGCAAGGACUGUAGCUUGUCAUCCAAGAUUUUAAUUCAUUCGACACACCGAUAAAAAAUAGGCUUCCGCUUUGCAAAGCUCAUUCCUGGUUACUCGCGCUCAUAUACUUACUACAUCGUGUACGCUAAUUUUGAACAACUCUGC